rnacentral:rRNA from 1 species
GGCCGUCGUCAGCUCGUGUCGUGAGAUGUUGGGUUAAGUCCCGUAACGGGCGCAACCCCUAUUCCCUGGUUGCUAGCAGGUAAUGCUGAGAACUCCAGGGAGACUGCCGGUGACAAACCGGAGGAAGGUGGGGAUGACGUCAGGUCAUCAUGGCCCUUACGGCCAGGGCUACACACGUGCUACAAUGGCGCGUACAGAGGGCUGCCAACUCGCGAGAGUGAGCCAAUCCCUUAAAACGCGUCGUAGUCCGGAUCGGAGUCUGCAACUCGACUCCGUGAAGUCGGAAUCGCUAGUAAUCGCGAAUCAAGAAUGUCGCGGGUGAAUACGUUCCCGGGUCUUGUACACACGCA